UUUUAAAGUCAGACUGUUAAGCGUGUGGAGAAAAUACUCAGCCGGAAGGUAAUAAGCAUUAAGCAAACUUGAGCAGUCUGGCCGCUUUUAAAUGCCUCAACAGGAAAUUUAUUCUUGGAACGUGGUUUGGACUUGGCAUUUGAUUUUCACUCAACCCCAGUGCAGCCAAUCAAUGCCAUCAACGAAUACGUGAACGCAUGCAUUCGUUUCUUGGAAUGAUUUGCUGAUAGGUUUGCUUCGGUAUGAGCGGGUUGUUGGAAGAUGCAAAUGCUGUGGUGGAAAUGCAUUACGCAUCAGUCGAGUCUCGAAAGCCAUUUGAAAGAGAUGGAGGCUUUAAGUAUCGAAAGCACGAAUUCCUAUUCAACAGUUAUGUGAAAGGAAACUUCAUCUCUGGCUAAACAAGACCUUGAACAGACACCUUUUUGGAAUAUGCAGCUUAUUUACUACCCGAAGAAUCGUUCUUCGUUACUGCAAGGCUCCCUUCGAAGGUUAACAGUAACCAUCCGA